AUGAACGCUGGCGGCGUGCUUAACACAUGCCAGUCGCACGAGAAGUGAAGACGGAAACCUUCGGGCGGAAGGCUUUAUUUCGAGUGGCGGACGGGUGAGUAACGCGUGGGUAACCUGCCUCAUACAGGGGGAUAACAGUUGGAAACGACUGUUAAUACCGCAUAAGACCACAGCACCGCAUGGUGCGGGGGUAAAAACUCCGGUGGUAUGAGAUGGACCCGCGUUCGAUUAGCCAGUUGGCGGGGUAACGGCCCACCAAAGCGACGAUCGAUAGCCGAUCUGAGAGGAUGACCGGCCACAUUGGGACUGAGACACGGCCCAAACUCCUACGGGAGGCAGCAGUGGGGAAUAUUGCACAAUGGGGGAAACCCUGAUGCAGCGACGCCGCGUGAGUGAAGAAGUAUUUCGGUAUGUAAAGCUCUAUCAGCAGGGAAGAAAAUGACGGUACCUGAGUAAGAAGCCCCGGCUAACUACGUG
rnacentral:rRNA from 1 species